rnacentral:rRNA from 1 species
AUUGAACGCUGGCGGCAGGCCUAACACAUGCAAGUCGAGCGGAUGACAGGAGCUUGCUCCUGGAUUCAGCGGCGGACGGGUGAGUAAUGCCUAGGAAUCUGCCUGGUAGUGGGGGACAACGUUUCGAAAGGAACGCUAAUACCGCAUACGUCCUACGGGAGAAAGCAGGGGACCUUCGGGCCUUGCGCUAUCAGAUGAGCCUAGGUCGGAUUAGCUAGUUGGUGAGGUAAUGGCUCACCAAGGCGACGAUCCGUAACUGGUCUGAGAGGAUGAUCAGUCCCACUGGAACUGAGACACGGUCCAGACUCCUACGGGAGGCAGCAGUGGGGAAUAUUGGACAAUGGGCGAAAGCCUGAUCCAGCCAUGCCGCGUGUGUGAAGAAGGUCUUCGGAUUGUAAAGCACUUUAAGUUGGGAGGAAGGGUUGUAGAUUAAUACUCUGCAAUUUUGACGUUACCGACAGAAUAAGCACCGGCUAACUCUGUGCCAGCCGCCGCCGUAAUAC